rnacentral:lncRNA from 1 species
UUGUGCUGUAGCCUUUCUUUUUCUUUGUUUUGUCAAGGUCAUGUUCUUCAGAUUUCAAUAUACCAAUACAGAAAACCGACACAAUACUUCAAAUAACGGCAAGAAGCAAUCUGCUACAUCAUAUAACAUACAUACAAAUGUGAUAAGCAUCAAGUUUACAAUUAUAUAACAGCUCUACAAGUAUACGGUCUACCACACGAGUCUAUCACAUGAGCCCUACAAGUUCUGCUACAUCAUAUAAAACACAUACAAAUAGGAUCAGCCUAAAGGGUUUCAUUGCUCCCAGAACUAGCUCCAAUGAGCUAGAACUUAUGCUUCUUCCAACUUCUUUUUCCUGAUGCUCGUGAAGAAAGAUGAAAGGCCAGCAUCUGCACGUUACAGAACAAAAUGAUUAGGAACAAAAUAAAAGUAAAUCUAACAGCAUAUUUACUCCGCAAGGAACCACAACAUAUUUCUGCAGAAAAAGAACAUGUAUGCAAACCAACCACCAAACAAAUAACGAGUUGGUUCAUCUUAUACCAGAAUAAAAAAGAACAUCGACAAGGAAUAGAAGCAUUCCUUGGUUUUCAAGCACACCAAUUCAUAAACAUGAUUUGGAUAUGGAAAAGACAAACAUAGCAACAAGAGAUAAUCAUAGUAAGUCAGCCAUCCUACUAUUCAAUAAAUGGUUCAGAUUUCACCGUAACAAAACACUUAACAACCUCAACACUUGUAUUUUUGCUUGCUGCAAUCUAGACAUCAUCACCACAAGUUCUAUGAUGCAUCCAAACUAGUGAACUUUGUGCAUAGAUCGGAUCGAAUCGAAGAGAGAAGGGGAAGGGAAGGGCUACCUUGAGGAUCUAAUCGAAUCAGCCUGCUUAUUCUUGCCAUCUUGUGAACAGCCUUCUUCUUCCUGCCAUCAGCGGAAAGGUUUUUAAGUACAACAGGAGAAAUGUUUCAUACAGCGAAAAGGGGGACUUGAUCAACAUCGACUAACUUCACAAAAUAAAACACCUAUCCAGGCAAUAAUUUCCCCCUGAUUUAAUAAGACAGCAUGCCUGUUAAAAAAACUAGGCUCAUUUACUUCUUCAUGGGAUUCAGAUAAAAAAGGGUUCAAAAAGGGUUCAAUAAUGAGAUACAGUAUUUUACAAGCUCUACAAGUGUUAUGUUCUUCAGCAUGGAGCUCCUUCGACAGCUUUACUGGACGACCUGUUACAUGAAUCAACAGAAAUGAAUCAAAAAAAAACUGGAGCCAAUAUACUAUGAGCAGACCUUUCAAAAAAGGACAGUUAUUAAGAAUGCCAACACAAAUUCAGCUAGUACCAUGCUUUUGGUUCUCCAGCUAGUUAAAAUGAGAUACUCAUUCAUACAAGAAAACAGAGACACAAUAUGAAAAUUCAUUGCACAAGUGCAGGUCAUGCAAAAUACUUCACUGCAACACAUUGCACCUAAACUUCGCAGAAGAUAUAAUUAUAAAAUUCAGUUUGCUACUCUUAACAUUGGAAAACAACUGUGGGUUUGUUCUGAUCACAGAAGAUAGAACUGAUAACAUUAGUUUGCUGCAACUCUGUAGUGGAUUUGUUUUGAUCACGGAAGAUAGAAUUGUUAAAAUUCAGUUUGCUCUACUAUCAUUCAAUAACUGCAUCUGCAGCGGAGACAAGUUCUCUUACCCAGAGAGCCGACGUGCAUGGACUUGCGCAUCAGAUGACAGAGUCGCCGGACUAUCAUCAAUACCAAAUUCCCAAACUCAAUAUAAAACCAGAGAAGUAACAGCCAACUGAAAAGGUAUAUGAAGACAAGGAGUGAGCAUAAACAGCGAUUUUAUUUACUUUUACUAGUUAGUGGAGGGGUGAUGCACAAGGAGUUGCAACUAUCUGAAAAACUGACACACGUGAGCUAGGAAGCAAGCAUUGGAUCAAAAUUGGAAAGCGUACGUGACUACGUACAACAUCUGAUUAUAUAAGCAACUGUACAACACAGCUAUGUGCUAAUUGCAGGCCCGUUUGGAUGCAAAGUAUUUUUGAAGCAUUACUAGAAUACCAUAGUUUUUGAAAAACUGUAGUUUUGAAUACUUUGAGGCGUUUGGCUAUACCAAAACUGCAUUUUCAUAUACAGUGGUAUUGUUGUUACUGUGGUUUUCUUGGAGUAUU